CCUACGGGAGGCAGCAGUGAGGAAUAUUGGUCAAUGGGCGCGAGCCUGAACCAGCCAAGUCGCGUGAGGGAAGACGGUCCUAUGGAUUGUAAACCUCUUUUGUCGGGGAGCAAAAGACGCCACGCGUGGCGUUCCGAGAGUACCCGAAGAAAAAGCAUCGGCUAACUCCGUGCCAGCAGCCGCGGUAAUACGGAGGAUGCGAGCGUUAUCCGGAUUUAUUGGGUUUAAAGGGUGCGCAGGCGGAAGAUUAAGUCAGCGGUAAAAUUGAGGGGCUCAACCUCUUCCAGCCGUUGAAACUGGUAGUCUUGAGUGGGCGAGAAGUAUGCGGAAUGCGUGGUGUAGCGGUGAAAUGCAUAGAUAUCGCGCAGAACUCCGAUUGCGAAGGCAGCAUACCGGCGCCAAAUUGACGCUGAGGCACGAAAGUGUGGGUAUCGAACAGGAUUAGAUACCCUUGUAGUC
rnacentral:rRNA from 1 species